rnacentral:lncRNA from 1 species
UUGGUACCAAACCCAUUUCAACCACCACCGUUGAUUCCAAACCCAUUUCAACCACCACCUCUAAUUCCAAAUCCAUUUCAGCCACCAAGCCCACCAUUCAUACCAAACCCAUUUCAACCACCACCAAGCCCAACACCACUUAUACCUAACCCAUUUCAGCCACCUCCAAGCCCAAGACCACUAAUACCUAACCCAUUUCAGCCACCCCCAAGCCCACCACCGUUUCUCCCUAACCCAUUUCAGCCACCACCAAGCCCACCAUCACCACUGUUUCCAAACCCAUUUCAGCCCACACCAUCACCACCAAAGCCACCAUCCCCUUUGUUUCCUUUUCCACCUAUUCCCGGUUUGACUCCGUCGCCGCCGCCGCCGUCUCCGCCCCCACCAACUUUUCCAUUUCCUUUCCCUCCAUUGUU